rnacentral:rRNA from 1 species
GUGGGGAAUAUUGGGCAAUGGACGCAAGUCUGACCCAGCAACGCCGCGUGAAGGAAGAAGGCUUUCGGGUUGUAAACUUCUUUUGUCAGGGAAGAGAAGAAGACGGUACCUGACGAAUAAGCCACGGCUAACUACGUGCCAGCAGCCGCGGUAAUACGUAGGUGGCAAGCGUUGUCCGGAUUUACUGGGUGUAAAGGGCGUGCAGCCGGGUCUGCAAGUCAGAUGUGAAAUCCGUGGGCUUAACCCACGAACUGCAUUUGAAACUGCGGGUCUUGAGUACCGGAGAGGUCAUCGGAAUUCCUAGUGUAGCGGUGAAAUGCGUAGAUAUUAGGAAGAACACCAGUGGCGAAGGCGGAUGACUGGACGGCAACUGACGGUGAGGCGCGAAAGCGUGGGGAGCAAACAGGA